AUACUUACCUAAGGGUCAUGGCCUAGGCUAGCGGCUUCCAUUGCACUAGGGAAGAGCGCUUGCCUACCAUCUCCUUAAGUAGGACGUUGUAAUUUGUGAAAGAGGGGGUACGCGUUCACGCGGCCCCUAC
rnacentral:snRNA from 1 species